UUGGCACACAUCUACCAUAUAUCGCACACUCUCCCUCUCUCUCUAAAGUUCUAUCUUAUUAUUAUUAUUAUAAUUAUUACUAUUAUUAUUAUUAUUAUUAUUAUUAUUAUUAUUAUUAUUAUUAUUCUUCUAUAUAUUAAAAAACGAAUCGAUUGAACAGUAUUCACACAGUAAACUUUACUUUAUAUUUAAGGGUUUUUAUUUACACAUAAAUUAAAACCGUGAGGGAUAAUAGAAAGAGAGGGGGAGGGAGACUGGAUAAACUGUGUCACAGAGGAGAGAGCCGCUCGUCGGCGGCGGCGAAGAGGGACAGAGCGAUCGGAUCAUCGGACAGAAAAACAGAGAGAUGCUCGCCGGCGGAGAGAUACACAUAAAUUAAAACCGUGAGGGAUAAUAGAAAGAGAGGGGGAGGGAGACUGGAUAAACUGUGUCACAGAGGAGAGAGCCGCUCCUCGGCGGCGUAGAGGGACAGAGCGAUCGGAUCAUCGGACAGAAAAACAGAGAGAUGCUCGCCGGCGGAGAGAAGAGAGAGAUCGGAUGCGGAGACUGGUCGACGGCUUCCCCGCCGGCGACGAUUGUAUUGUAUCUCGAUCUAUGGUAUCUUCUUCGUUUUGCUUCGCUGUGUGCCCCUCAGUCAACGCGGACGAUGGCUAUGCUCUGUCGUCUAGAUCCGUUGCCGCCUCCGUUUGGUGCCAUCCUGUUUGCCGUACCGUUUUGCUCAUCGAACCCUUUAGGGUUCUGAUACGACGGUUCUCGGUGGCGGGCUAUGGAUGGUGACAGCGGCUUUACGUUUGGCCUUUUCAUCCUUAUAUAAAAAAUAUGGCUUUCCAUUAUUUAUGAUGCAAUCUGACUUGUUGGUUGUUUAAGCCCUAAUUUUAUUUAGGGCUUUUUCAUUUGGUCUCUGUUAUUUGUUUGAUGGUUUAAUCGGUAUCUGGUUUGGUCGAUGAUGAUGAGCCAAUGCUUCAUAUCUUUGUGGCUCAUCGGAGACGUUUUUGAAUUUAUUUUCUGCCUCAAUUCGUUUGUGAUGUUUAAUGUUUUGAGGCUGUGAUGCUGGGCGUUGACUCAUCUGAGCCGUUAUCACAAUUGGAAGCUCAUGUUGUUCAGUCAACAACAAUGUCAUAACACCUGUGAUGAUGUAUCUGUGUAGUCUGAGCAUCAAAUGUUGAACUUAUAGGACCAUUGGCUUAAAUAAUUGGUAAACUCAUUGUUUUGGUCUGGCAAUCAUGUUCACUGCAGCCACAAUGAGUUAACAUUUUUGAGCUUAUACCUUGAAAACCGAAGUCCGUGGGUUAUGUCAUUACCCCAUGGUUGGCUAGGCGAUGAUGAUACCCAAAAAAUUGGUCAGAUCGUUGUUUGGCAUGGCAAUUACCCUAUCUAUUAAUAUGAGAAGGAUUUGAACGUUUUUUUUCCCGUUGGUUGCUUGAUCUAUGGUGCAUGUUGCGUGUUUGCAAAGCCUUUGUUGGCUUCCUUUCAAAUGAUGGGUUUAUUUGCAGCCACAACGAGAUGUAGUUUCUGAGCAUUUGGAUCUGAGCCUUUGAACAUCACAAAACAAUGCUUCACAUGCACUUUAAUAGCCGAUAACCAAACGGCAUUUUGCACAUCUUGGAUUACGAUCAUGUAGCUGCAGGUAACUUAGUGUGAAGCCAAUAAAAGCCAGCUGGAGAGCACUGAAGGCUUAGAAAAGUGGCAAUAAAAGUUACCUAAUUAAAAUGAGAAUUGUUUUCAAUAAUUGGGGUCAUUCCCUAUAGAUGUAUCAAAAUGAAAAUCGGGUUUUGUCCCACUUAUAAAUGUAUUACCAGAAAAACUUGGGUUUUAUCCCAUUUCUUUAAUUUAAAUAUUUUUGGUGUUUAACUCUGAUAAAAA